rnacentral:lncRNA from 1 species
AUGCAAAACAGUGUGAUUUAUAUAUAUAUAUAUAUAUAUAUAUAUAUAUAUAUGUCUGUAUGUGUGUAUAUAUAUAUGUAUGUAUAUGUUAAUAUUGUAUUGAAACCAUUGAUGUCCCUCUUUGCAGAACUCAAACUAACUGGAGUUAAGGACACACAAGUCUGCUUGUGUGAGGAGGUGGUUUUCUCAGCUUCUUCUGAAGAGAGGGAAAGAUCGUUUAAGAUGUUAAAAGCAAGAGACAUGGGAGAGCAUCAUUCCUUUGAGAUUUUAUAGGCCACUGAUGAAGAACAGGCAGUGACUGGGAUGAAUGCUGGUCAGAGAGGAGAAUCUUCUUUCCCCUAAACUGAUGCAGCGGUGGUUUUAAAGGAGGACGCUGCCCUGGAUGAUGUAGAAGAUGUCACAUGCUGUGCUGAUGGUGCUUCUUCAUGACUACAUCAGUUAUGCUAAAGAGAUCAUGAAAAUUGACCGUGAUGCAUGAUCUGUAUUCAUGGACUAUGAAACAAACUGUAAGUGUAUCAUUUGUUUAAAAAAAAAAAGUUAAAUGCUUUUUCUGUGCUGUUUAGUAGAAGAGUUUACACUCUGUCAUUCAUACACCUGCUCACAUUCUUUCACACACACACACAUGCUUCUGUUAAAUGUUAAAAUAUCAAAGUUAAUGUUGUGAUUUAUUUGUGUACUGUCAUGCCAGAAUAGUUGGAAAAAAACCUAACUAAUUGUAAAUUUAUUGUAUGUGUUUUCGUAUUUUUAUACAAUAUAUAUACAAUUGAACAAAGUCCAAUUUGAUCUUAAGUUAUAGUCAUCAAAUGUUCAGUGCUUUGUUUAUGAACUCUGUAGCUGUUAAUGCCAUCCAUUUCUGCAUUUCUUCUAACAUGUUACUUUUUGACUUUUCUCUUGUUUUUAAUAAAUAUUUUCCUUUUGAUAAUUAUUAUUUGUGUGUAAAAGUGAUAUUUAAAAUGAACAACAUUUGUAGGUUUAAUGUCUAGCUCAAUUUGGGUUAAUUUUAACGUAGAAAUGCAUUGUUUCCCCACAUGGCUGCACGAGUUU